rnacentral:rRNA from 1 species
GAUGAACGCUAGCUACAGGCCUAACACAUGCAAGUCGAGGGGCAUCGGGGAGGGAAGCUUGCUUCCUUGCCGGCGACCGGCGCACGGGUGAGUAACGCGUAUCGAACCUGCCCAUACCCGGGGAUAGCCUUGUGAAAGUAAGAUUUAAUACCCCGAUGGUUUCCUUUUAUCUCCUGAUAGAGGGAAUAAAGAAUUUCGGUAUGGGAUGGGGAUGCGUCUGAUUAGCUUGUUGGCCGGGUAACGGCCCACCAAGGCGACGAUCAGUAGGGGUUCUGAGAGGAAGGUCCCCCACAUUGGAACUGAGACACGGUCCAGACUCCUACGGGAGGCAGCAGUGAGGAAUAUUGGUCAAUGGACGGGAGUCUGAACCAGCCAAGUAGCGUGCAGGACGACGGCCCUAUGGGUUGUAAACUGUCUUUUAUAGGGGGAUAAAGUGUGCCACGUGUGGCAUAUUGCAGGUACCCUAUGAAUAAGGACCGGCUAAUUCCGUG